rnacentral:rRNA from 1 species
GAUGAACGCUGGCGGCGUGCCUAAUACAUGCAAGUAGAACGCUGAAGCUUGGUGCUUGCACCGAGCGGAGGAGUUGCGAACGGGUGAGUAACGCGUAGGUAACCUGCCUCUUAGCGGGGGAUAACUAUUGGAAACGAUAGCUAAUACCGCAUAAAAGUCGACAUUGCAUGAUGUUGACUUGAAAGGUGCAACUGCAUCACUAAAAGAUGGACCUGCGUUGUAUUAGCUAGUUGGUGAGGUAACGGCUCACCAAGGCGACGAUACAUAGCCGACCUGAGAGGGUGAUCGGCCACACUGGGACUGAGACACGGCCCAGACUCCUACGGGAGGCAGCAGUAGGGAAUCUUCGGCAAUGGACGGAAGUCUGACCGAGCAACGCCGCGUGAGUGAAGAAGGUUUUCGGAUCGUAAAGCUCUGUUGUAAGAGAAGAACGAGUGUGAGAGUGGAAAGUUCACACUGUGACGGAACUACCAGAA